AGUGGCGGACGGGUGAGUAACGCGUGAGAAUCUGCCUUGGGGUCGGGGACAACCACUGGAAACGGUGGCUAAUACCGGAUAAGCCGAUUGGUGAAAGAUUUAUUGCCCGAAGAGGAGCUCGCGUCUGAUUAGCUAGUUGGUGAGGUAAGAGCUCACCAAGGCAGCGAUCAGUAGCUGGUCUGAGAGGACGAUCAGCCACACUGGGACUGAGACACGGCCCAGACUCCUACGGGAGGCAGCAGUGGGGAAUUUUCCGCAAUGGGCGAAAGCCUGACGGAGCAAGACCGCGUGAGGGAGGAAGGCUCUUGGGUUGUAAACCUCUUUUCUCAGGGAAGAAGCUCUGACGGUACCUGAGGAAUCAGCCUCGGCUAACUCCGUGCCAGCAGCCGCGGUAAUACGGAGGAGGCAAGCGUUAUCCGGAAUUAUUGGGCGUAAAGCGUCCGCAGGUGGCGAUUCAAGUCUGCUGUCAAAGCACGGGGCUUAACUCCGUAAAGGCAGUGGAAACUGAAUAGCUAGAGUGCCGUAGGGGUAGAGGGAAUUCCCGGUGUAGCGGUGAAAUGCGUAGAGAUCGGGAAGAACAUCGGUGGCGAAAGCGCUCUACUGGACGGCAACUGACACUCAGGGACGACAGCUAGGGGAGCGAAUGGGAUUAGAUACCCC
rnacentral:rRNA from 1 species